UUGAUUUCCUCCUGCAAGCUUCAGCAAUCGCAACCGAGCAGGGGGGAGAGGGCUUUUGCUGCUCUCUAUCUAUCUUGUGCAUUUCUUCAUGCUGCACUCUCCUCGCUCCUCCCUUAUGCCGCAUUCCUCUUCCCUGUCAUUGCCGCGGCGCUGUUUUUACUGCCUCUGUCAGGCGCAUUUGCGGAGGCAAUUCGGUUGUGUGUGGUCGCGGAGGCUGUGAUUUGGACGGAUUUGGUCAGGAUUGAGGGAGAAUAGGGCGGUGGAGUUUUGUGGCUUAGCACGCUGUGUAGAGUGUUGGCGUGGUUGACAUGCGGAGGAUAUGGAUGGGAGGAGGAGAGGCCGAGGCUGUGGACAUGCUGCGAUGAGUGGCUGAGUGUGUUCAGCUGCUUUGGCUGAGCGUUUUCGCUACCUUUUAUUUAGUGUUGAAUGUAGUGUAGUACCUCCUGCAGUUCGGCGGUAUUUCUUUAUUAUUUUUCUCAUUUUUUCCAGAAGUUCAUUACUCCAGUUUCCUCAGAUUUGUAACAGGAGGACUAUUCCUUCAUUCAGCUUGAAUUUGCCGCGUAUCAACGGGUAGCUAUGAGCGUGCGGAGGGGUCUGGUAGCUUGAACGGAGAAGCGACUGUCCUCAGGCUCGUCAGCAUGGCUUCGUCGUACCGGAGUCUGCUGGCGACAGUGAAGGCAGAGCUUGUUGUAGCGAAGGGAGCUUCUCAUAGCCGAAUUGAGCUCUUUCACGCUCUAGACAAGUAUCUGCCUGAUUUCCAAGCAUUUCUUAUAUUUCCUGGUCCUAGAGCAGAGGAUAGAACGCAAGUUGUGAACUCACCAUCGAAUUUACUUGAGAAACAAGAUAUACAGCUUGCGUUGAUGCUGAGCGAUGAUUUUAAUCUAAAUGAGGCAUAUUGUGCGGGCUUGGUUAUCUCUGGACAUGAGCAGAGGAACCGGAACGGUUGGGGACGCCAAGAGAUGAUGCAGAUAGCAGCUGGACUUUGGUUCACUGAACGAGAAUCUUUGAUCAAAUCUUUGCAGCUUCUGCUUCACGUCGUGGCUCUAAACAAGGAGUUGGAUUCGGAUUUUGUCGGAAAAAUUCGACAGUACCUUGAGAAGCUUCUGAAUGCAGGAAUUCGGACAAGAAUAAUGAGCUUAAUAAAGGAAUUGAAUGAAGAAGAAUCUACUAGAUUAAUGGAUCAGAGUAUGGAUCAGAGUCUCCAACAUUAUAUCAAAGACUCAUCCGGAGUUCUAGUAGAACGCUGUGCUGCAAUUCAAAAAUUACGUCUUAGUCUGUGCGAUUGCUUAUAUCUUAGUUGUCUCAUUACUCCCCUAGAUGCGGCAGAGGUUAAGUACCUAUAUAAUCUGCUGAAGGUCUGCUCUGCUGAUGGGAGUCUGCUUCAUGAUGUCGUCAAAUUACGGAUUACGUAUACUAUCAUGUUCUCGCUUACCAAUGCAAUAGUUUUAGGAGCAGAGGGUUGUGAACAUAGAGGCCUUGUGCUUGCUCUUGAUGCGAAUUCCCGUGAGGAGUUUCAACAGCUGAUGCUAGACGAAGCAGAAGUAAAUUCUGUGACGGAGGGCUUCACGGGAUUAAUUCGAUUAGCUUGGGUUACUAUUGGAACGCUUACCAAGCAAACUCCAGACGUCACUGCUGUUAAGGCUACUGUUGAAGAUGAUAGUAUUCUAUACCUAUGCUUGAAUCGAGCUUGUGAUCGUGAUGUGUUUGGAUUUCUGAAUACCCACAUCUUUGAGACAGCUGCAUUUCAGAAUGAUGAAAAAGCGUCAGCUUUCAAAUUCACGACUGGUUUGUGUAAACUUGUAAUGGGCCUUCUCUCACUUCCAGCAGGCCGUCAAAAGAUCAUGGAAUUUAAGUACACAAGUAUGAUGGCUCUGGAUAUUAAAACAACUCAUUUGAAAGACUCUCCUCAAUGCAGUAAAAGCCAAGCUCAAAUUCAGGCUGUGAAGUGUCAAGCUCAGCCGCUCGUUUCUUUUUUACAUUUUGUCAGGGAGAUUUUCCAGAGAGAGCCUGAACUCGUCCUCGACAACAAUGAUCUUUGGAGUUUUGUUCAUUUUGCAGGAGAAUGCCAUUCAAGCUACUUCACUUUAGUAGCUUUUCUUGAUAUGCUCACAGCAUUGGCUGAGUGCAAAGAAGGAGCGGGGAAAGUUUAUGACCUGCUUCAAAAGGCAACCAUCUCUAAUCUUGGAUGGCAAAACCUUUCUACUUCGUUAGUUUUCUACGAUCAACAACUUCGAUUAUGUGUGGAUACUCCAAAGGGUUUGCUUCCACCCUUCACGGAAGGAGAUGCCCGUAUUGUGGAGGCUUAUCUUAAAGUUAUGAAAAAGGUGAUUGAGAAAGGCGAUGUAUUGGAAAGAAUGCAAUGGUUCGAGGACAUUGAGCCACUCUUCAAACUGUUAUCUUGUCAGAAGGUUCCUCCGUUCUUAAAGGGGGCAUUGCGAAAUGCGAUAGCAGCCUGUGCUUGUGUAUCUCCUGUCAUGAAACAGAAAGUGUAUGAACUAUUCCACCUGUAUGAUUUGCCAGUUUUAGUCACACUUCUUCCGACUGACCGCUGUGGUCAGCUCUCGUCAAAGCAGGUCUUUGACUUGACCUACGAGCUCAAUGAGGUGGAGGCCAGGCAGAGGGAAUAUCCUUCUACUAUUUCAUAUAUGAAGCUGCGUAAUGUUCUCAUUCCUCAUGAGCUAGAUGCGAGGGACACUAGAUAUUCUGAGUUUUAUCGAUUUGUGCGGGACCAGGUCUUUGGACUUUACAGUCAGAGGUUGUAUGCAAAUCCUACCGAAAAAUGGGAGCUUGUUGUGGCAUCCCUACAUCUUUUUGAAAUAUUGUUGAAUAAGUACGAUCCCAUAAAUGAGGAUGUAAGGAACGAUGCCGAUAAUGGUUUUUUAUCGGACCGGUCCUUCCGACGAAUGUCAACAACUUCAACUGCAGAACAUACAAAUACGACCCCAGCCAUGGAGUUGAUGAAGGACCUUAAAAAUGGUGAGGUGAUCUACAGCAAUUUGAUGAACAUAUUAGCGUUAGGUGUGGAAUCCUUAUUGGAUCAGCGCACAAGUCAGCUCUAUGGCGCAGUUUUGGAGGAAGCUAUUUCCUUAUCUUUUCAAAUAUUCAUCCAUGCUUUCUUGAAAGAGUCUCAACUUGCAGAAGCUUGCAAUCCUUCAUUACAGAUGUCUGGGUGGGGGCGUAUGUUACAGAAGCCGCUGCACGAAAUGUUAUUUUAUGAUUCUCAGCAAGUAGUGACGCUCUUGGAGUAUGUGCGAUAUUUUAAAUCGCAACCAAUACAACUAUACUCUGUGAAAAUAAUGGGCCUUUUGAGUGCACGAGUACCCACACUGGUGUCUGUAUUACGAAAAUCACCGGCGUUACUGAAUAUUAUAGAGGCGUAUGCGGCAUGCCUUGAGGCUCGUAUCUUGGAAGCUCAUCCGUCCGAAAUUCCUGACGAGGACAUUGGAUUACUUAUACUUCAACUUCUUCAUGCCAAUUUGUCUCGACCAGCUCCAAAUCUCACUCAUUUGCUUUUAGGAUUUGACGUCAACGAACCUGUGGAGAAGACAACACUUCAGCCAAACUUUAAAUUCAGCUGCCUUACUGUUAUACUUCAUACUGUGGAUAAACUUGUGAGGCCAGAGGUGGAUGCUGGAUUGCUUGAACUCUGUUUUCAGUUGCUGUAUGAGCUUUGUGUGGACCAAAUCACUUGUGGUCCUAUGGUGGAGCUCCUACGGAAUGGGAAGUAUGAUAUUUCGCCAAAGAAGACAUCACGUACCAGUCACGAUACAUGCGUUGAGAGAGAAAAUUCUUCUAUCUCUGGAACGAAUCGGUGCUCUUCUGAAGCUGAGGACAUGGACCUUCAAGUAUGCGACCUUGAGCCAGUUGCUGGGUCAAUGCCAGGACCUUCAAGCAUUCCCGAACCCGAAGUAGGAUUUUCGAACCCAGAACCUCUGGCCUCUCGGUACACCACCAAAGACAAUGGUGGACUAUGCGAAGGUAUGGCUGUGCUUAGAUCGUCGUGGAUACAACGGCUUUUCCCUGGAAUGAUGGGUGAGUAUGUAAAGCCCACUCAAGAGAAAGGGAAGGAGAAACAUGUUUCUUCUGCAUAUGAAGAUACUGAGCGACUUUUAAUAGAGAAUGCCUCGAAAACUUCUGAAGUCUUUGGAUCGUGUUCAGAGGUUUUGGGUACAAGUCGAGACCAAGCAAGAGAGAGUUUCUGUGAUGAUGGUACGCCUGGUAGAUUCGAGGAAGGCAGCAGCAUCGAGCCGGACUACGAGUGCAGCAAUAGCUCUCGACCACCACCAGCUGUAGUAUCCAAGCAGAGGCCAGCUCCUGCUAGAGUUGAUGCAGAGAGUGAAUAUCGCUGCGAAGUUGGUUCACAGACACCCAGUAUUUUGAAUUCUGAAAAUUCUACCAGAUUAUUGACUCAGCCGGCUUGUUCUCGGCUCCCCCCUGAAUGUUCAACGGAGCAAGUCUUGGCGCUGCGAAAUCGCAUGGAUUGUGCCACCAAGGUGGUACCCUCAAUCCUCACAAAAUACGAACAAGUAGCAACGAUGCAAACCUUUGUGAGACCAUUAGAGCUGAAAAGUCACAAUGAGGACUAUUUACGAACUAGGGGAGCAGGUAAUGUCCCAUCUGAGCAUGAAAUGGGGAGGAAAUCGCAGGUUUCUUCGAUGUAUCCGUAUAAACUCCCAGCUGAUCUGGAUACAAAAAUUAUACUAGAAGAACAUUCUUCGCAACGUCAUUUAUUAAGCACGAGCGACGUAGCUAGAAAGUCUCAAAAUAAGGAACGGAAUCGAUUUGUUCUUAGCAGUGCUGGCACCAACAAUAAAACUGCGGUUCAGCCAGAAUCGACAUCACCCAGAUUCAAACAAUCGGGAUUGCAUCUAGGAAACCCAAGACAUAGCAGCUACAAGGAAUAUUCACUAGCAGGCGAAGACGUGGGCUGGGAUGAGCCAAGGGUGGAUAAGGAGAAAAUGGGCAGAAACAUCGGACAUCAAACACAGCAUAGUACAGUCACUGGAAAAAUUGUGGACUCAUCUCUACUUCCACCCUUGUCCCUUUUUGCUCCUUUCAAGCACAGUAAAGAGCGACGAAGCGCAAAGUCUGAGGGUAAAACUAAAAUGGCACCAGGUUUAUCAGGAGAGUCUCUCCUGACACCUUUGUUUUCUCCUUGUAGUUACAAAAAGGACAAGAAUGACGAUCGAGGUGUUGCCGAUGUCUGCGAAGACAAGUUUGAUUCGGUAAUAUUUUCUCCUUACAAGCCAUUGUCUUCACUUCACAAUUCUGCUGGAAUUCGUGAAUCUGAGGCCUUGACACUGACGCCUGUUUUUGCUCCUUUCAAGACUUUGGAAGAGCAGAAGUGUCCUGCAUCUGCGGCUAUAACAGAAUGUUUGCCUGUAGAUCUCAUGGAACAAAAUGGUGACAAUACAGUGGUACAAUAUCCUGGAGCAAAAACUGACUUGAUUUCAGGAUCGAAUUUUCGACAAGUGGAGCAUAUGAUUCAAUCAAACCAUCAGUUAGUUGCUCCUGAACGCUCCUCGUCAGUAUAUUCUAGCUAUCCACGGCGACGGGGUGCCAACUAUAGAGAAGCUGCUGUACAUUCGACGAUACCUGGUCCACACUCUCAUGAGGAACAGCAUCGUGUGGAAUCGACAUACACUCGUGGAUUCCUCGUCAGGGAAGAGCAACGUACAAUGAAUACCGCUACAAUUGACUUAUGCAGCAGGAGACCGAGACUUCAGGAAGAAAGAACUGGUUACAGCGAUUCAUGCCAGGCCGAUACGAAUGUUUCUAUGGUACAUUCACAUGAUGUACAAAUGAGUCUCUCACAAGGGAUGCAGGAACUCUUUCAGUUUGAUAAAGAUUUGCAGCAGCAGCAGGUCAACACUGAAGCUGAGGGAAUGAGAGAGUUGAGAUCCUGUAGUAACCUGGUAUGUGAGGCUAGUAGCGGCUCUUCUCCUGUACCAUGCGAAAAUCACUGUGUACGCUUACCAUCCCAGUCUACUGAUAAGCACUUAGCAUCAACUGGUCCCAUCAUGCCAGGACCGUCUGCAAAGUAUUCCAGUAAAGAAAAUUAUCACCAGCGUAAAGGCAAUUUAGAAGGUAGUGGGGUGCAAGGUGGUUACACAUUGAAGAACCCCAGUGCUUUAGUUACAGAUGUUGAGAAAGAGCAAAGUCCCGUUGAUAAGCAGACACGCGGCGGUGCCACCAAAAUCGGUGCUACUGCACAAAGCCCUGAUAACUUUCGAAAAAGAGAGUUCGCGGCUAACAGAGAGUAUCAUGCUUUUAAUGAAGGGAAGAAUAUAUCUGGACAAUCAGGAAGUGCCAAGUUUUUAGAUGCUCAAGGAGACAGAUCAGAGAGGUCCUCGAGAAAACGGACUCAUGAGGCAAGGACUGGUGCAUCACAAUCCGCAUUUAAAGAUUCAGAGACUCCCUCUGUUGUUGUACCCCAAAAUGAAUUUGGUGUUGAAGAACUUAAAACAACUCCGCGUGCACAGUCGUGGCUACAAAGGUGGAUGCCUUCUUCGAAACCCGUGAUCCCUGUGUUUGAGGCCUCUCAAGGUUUCUCUUCUCAAAUGCCUACGAAGCAGUCUUCAUCGCAUGCUAAAAACCCUAGGCUUGUACAUGACAAUACCAUACAUGGGCAGCGAUUGGAUGAAGCUGGAUCAGCUGUGCUGGAGGAGCACAGACCAUCAGCAAUGGAAAGGUCUGGCCAGUUGGCUAGAUCUAAUUUUGAAAACUAUCAUAGAAGAUCCAGUCCCCUUUGCCCAGGAUUUUACCCCUUACCAAGUGCGGCAGCUAUGGCACUUGUAGGUGCUGCUAGUAGGAGAGCUGCUCCGUUGCCACCUCAAAGAUCAGUGCAAACGAGGAUAUCUGUUUGGCCCGCAAUCGCAGGGAUACAGUUGCGAAGAACCGAGCUCGGGUCUCCAGGAGUGUUGUCUCCGCAAGUCGAAGUUGAUAUGGUCGAAGAAGGAUGAGCAGUGGAUUAUGGCGAACGACAAAGUCGUGAAUUGUCUGCAGCUUGAGCGUAUAUUUUAGGAGCUGCAACGUAGUGCUUUGGAUGUUCAAGAAGCUCAUUAUACUGUUGAGGAACUCGAGAUUAAUAGAAUUAAAGCUGUUCUGGCCCUGUUCCUUUUCAUUUUUGUUCGUCAUAGAAAAAUUUAUGUCCAACCAGUUGGGGGGCCUACGAUGAGACGUAAAGGUGCAUGGGACAUGGAUUCUGAGAAGCUGGAUACGAACGUAUCGUUGUGCCAGAGUUCGUACAGCACUGAAAUUAUGCUCGCAACCAUCUCUUUUGAUAGGAACACCUAAAUCAGACCACUUAGCGUGCCAGUAAAUUUCAUGUGAGCUGCACCCAAAUCGGGUAGUAGGACGCGACGAAUAGCAGGCUGUUGGAUACUCCUGGUGCAAGGACGAAUCCCUCGGCUCACUGCAGUGUCCACGCCUGCAGUGAGCCGAGGGAUCGGAUCUGACGUGUCGUCCUAUCCAGCCUGGGAGGUAUAGUGCUCACACUGAUGAUCUACCAAUACAUAUGCAUAUCAUGGUGUAUAGUUAGGGAAACGUGAAAAUUUAGUUUUGUUUUCUUAACUCGUUUUGGUCAGCUUUAGGAUUGUUUCUUAAUUGGCAACAAUGUAGGGCCAUAAAAAAGACAAAACAAAGUAAAUUGAUAAAUAAAAUGAUAUAAGUAUAUGUAAGAGGGAGUUAAGAGUAGAUUUUAGUAAAAUUUACCUCAAGAAGCCAAGAAUUGAUAUUUGGAGAGGACCAGUUGUCAACCUGGGUUGAAAUCAGAUCCUAAGGCUCAAAACUUUGCACC